rnacentral:rRNA from 1 species
CCUACGGGUGGCUGCAGUGGGGAAUAUUGCACAAUGGGCGAAAGCCUGAUGCAGCAACGCCGCGUGAGCGAUGAAGGCCUUCGGGUCGUAAAGCUCUGUCCUCAAGGCAGAUAAUGACGGUACUUGAGCAGGAAGCCCCGGCUAACUACGUGCCAGCAGCCGCGGUAAUACGUAGUGGGCUAGCGUUAUCCGGAAUUACGGGUCGUAAAGGGUGCGUUGGUUGUUUCUUAAGUCAGAGGUGAAAGGCUACGGCUCAACCGGAGUAAGCCUUUGAAACUGGGGAGCUUGAGUGCAGGAGAGGGGAGUAGAAUUCCUGGUGUAGCGGUGAAAUGCGUAGAGAUUAGGAGGAACACCAGUUGCGAAGGCGGCUCUCUGGACUGUAACUGACACGGAGGCGCGAAAGCGUGGGGAGCAAACAGGAUUAGAUACCCCAGUAGUC